CUUUCAGAAGUGGUGUGCCAAGUCUUCAUUUAUUCACUCUAAUUUAAAGUUUUGCGUACCAGUAAUACAUUUAAACGUUUUUAGAAGGUCUGUUUCUAUAAGUCUAUAAUAUAUAACUAAACUAUUGUUGUAUGUAAAGUAAAUAAGGUUUUUAAAAUGUUUAAGACGCUUCAUUUAAAAUUAAAUUAAAAUGCAGAGCCCACCAGACCAGUGGCCAAGACCCAGACAGUGUGAGUGCCACUGAAAAGCAACUUGCAUGCUGCCUUCAGCAUGCAUACCAUAGGUUGCCUAUUGCCUACCCUUGUUCUACAUAAUACUUAGUCCUUCCUCAGUGCAGGGGACUGGACUAGAUGACCUAUCCAGGUCCCUUCCCUACAUUUCUUUGAUUAGACAAGGCCACGUGACCUGACUUUGUAAGGCACUGAGCACUGCCUGCCCUGAAGUGACCUCAGUUGGGGAGGAUCAGCAAGAUCAGGUCUUGGGAUAAAAUCCUCUCCACUGUAGAGUAGAUCUAUGAAUAAUGAAGAAGGGAGUAAAUCUUCAGGGCUUAAGCAGUGUAUAUGGCCACGUGCAGGCAGGCCUCUGCACUGGGAUGAAUUUUAUCCAUACUGAACUUUCUGUUAGGGCCUGGUUUGUGUGACUUGAAUAGGACCUAAACUGAUCAGCAAACUCAUUUCCAUUUGCAGUUGAACCAUUGUAACACAUUGCCAAAGACAAAUGGCUAUGCCUAUAUACACCAACCUAAACGUAUCAUAUAAGUUAACUCCUUCAUAACUUUGUUUACUCUGCUGUUAAGAUAGGAACCUUUUUUUCUUCUCAAAUCCUUGGAAAUGUACUGUAAUGGGUUUUCUCCAAAUUUGUCAUCUAAAUAGUUUUUUCUGAUGCUUUCCUUUGUGUACAGUCUUUUUUGGUUGCUUUUCUUCAGCAUGCAUUUUAAAAUAUAACCUUCCAAUUGUCACAGAACUGUAUGUAUUUAUCACUGUGACAUUUGAAAGUAUGUAAAUGACUUGCAGAUGUUCUACUGUACUGUAACCAAAGUUAGCUUUGUCACUUUCACACACCCAUGACAAAACCAUAUUGGCUCAGAAAGAAACUCAGCACACUAAGCUUGCUAGUUUCUCUUUUUAUAUAAAAUGUUUCUAGGUCCUAAGUAAUUAAAAACAGGAGCCCGUUUGUAUGAUAGCAAUCAGUCCAAAGAAUGAGGCACAUGUAACAUCUUAGCAUUUUUAUGGUAGUUGUGUGUGUGAAAGUUAAAGAUGCAUAACCAGUAAAGCGUCCUGAAAUAUUUGUGGUACAUUACAAUUAUGAGUUCCUGUGUAUAUAUUUCAUGUAGCAUAUUAUUACGGACAUUAAACUUUAGUAAAUAUU